AUUGAACGCUGGCGGCAUGCCUUACACAUGCAAGUCGAACGGCAGCACGGGAGCAAUCCUGGUGGCGAGUGGCGAACGGGUGAGUAAUAUAUCGGAACGUGCCCAGUCGUGGGGGAUAACGCAGCGAAAGCUGUGCUAAUACCGCAUACGAUCUACGGAUGAAAGCGGGGGAUCGCAAGACCUCGCGCGAUUGGAGCGGCCGAUAUCAGAUUAGCUAGUUGGUGAGGUAAAGGCUCACCAAGGCGACGAUCUGUAGCUGGUCUGUGAGGACGACCAGCCACACUGGAACUGAGACACGGUCCAGACCCCUACGGGAGGCAGCAGUGGGGAAUUUUGGACAAUGGGCGCAAGCCUGAUCCAGCAAUGCCGCGUGCAGGAUGAAGGCCUUCGGGUUGUAAACUGCUUUUGUACGGAGCGAAACGGUCUUUCCUAAUACGAGAGGCUAAUGACGGUACCGUAAGAAUAAGCACCGGCUAACUACGUGCCAGCCGCCGCCGUAA
rnacentral:rRNA from 1 species